CAGCCGCCACGGUAAUACGGAGGGGGCUAGCGUUGUUCGGAAUUACUGGGCGUAAAGCGCACGUAGGCGGCUUGGUAAGUUAGAGGUGAAAGCCCGGAGCUCAACUCCGGAAUUGCCUUUAAGACUGCCGAGCUAGUAGGUGAGAGAGGUAAGUGGAAUUCCGAGUGUAGAGGUGAAAUUCGUAGAUAUUCGGAAGAACACCAGUGGCGAAGGCGGCUUACUGGCUCAUUCUAGACGCUGAGGUGCGAAAGCGUGGGGAGCAAACAGGAUUAGAUACCCGCGUAGUCCCUGUCUCUUAUAC
rnacentral:rRNA from 1 species